rnacentral:lncRNA from 1 species
UCGUAUACGCUUAAAUUAACAUAAUACACAGUUAACUAAAUAUAGUACAUAAUUAAAUUAAUACGGUACAUAAUUAAAUUAACAUGAUAUACAGUUAAAUUAACAGUGCACACAGUUAAAUGAAUAUUGUACAUAGUUAAAUUAACACUGUACAUAGAUAAAUAAAUAUUAUAUAUAAUUAAUUUAUUAUUAUAUAUAAUUAUAUAUAUGGUACAUAAGUAAUUUGCCACU